AUGCUUUACUCAAAGAUUAAGCCAUGCAUGUGCAAGUACACUACCUUUUUAUCAAAACUUCAUGGUGAGACCGCGGAUGGCUCAUUAGAUCAGUCUUGGUUCCUUAGACGGAAUGGUUACUUGGACAACCGUGGUAAUUCUAGAGCUAAUACAUGCAAAGAAAAGCUCCGACUAAACCCACCUGCCUGGGUUGGAAAGAGCGCAGUUAUUAGACCAAAACCGACUAGUGUGAGAUUGAUACCCUCGCUAAGCACGAACUCAAAUUGGUGAACUCUGGAUAACAUUAAGGCGGACCGCAUGGCCCGAGUGCUGGCGGCGCAUCUUUCAAGUGUCUGCCCCAUCAACUUUCGACGGUAGACGAUAGUCUACCCGUGGUCGUUACGGGUAACGGGGAAUCAGGCUUCGAUUCCGGAGAGGGAGCCUGAGAAACGGCUACCACCUCCAAGGAAGGCAGCAGGCGCGCAAAUUACCCACUCCUAGUUCAGGGAGGUAGUGACGAGUAGUAACGACACUCGAGUCCAUUUUUGCGGGCUCGUGGAGAUCGCAAUGAGUCGAACUUAAACAAAUCGGCAAUGAACAAUUGGAGGGCAAGUCUGGUGCCAGCAGCCGCGGUAAUACCAGCUCCAAUAGCGUAUAUUAAAGCUGUUGCAGUUAAAAAGCUCGUAGCUGAAUCUCGGGUCCCAGGACGCGGGCGGCCUCGUUUUUUUCGUAAUGUUAAAAUACGAUAAAAACUAGAGGUUUUAACUAAUAUACAAAACUGCAAGCUGAACGGGACCCUAUACCCUGGCAAACCCGAGGUGUUCUUGAUUGCGAUGUCUCGGGUGGCUAGAAAGGUUACUUUGAACAAAUAAGGGUGCUUAGAGCAGGUCAUCAUAAAAACCGGGCCUAUAUGGUAUAGCAUGGGAUAACGGAAAAAGACCUCGAUUCUUUUUUCAGUUGGUCUUUCGGGAAAUACGAGGAAAUGAAUAAAAGGGACGGACGGGGGCAAACGUACUCUGGGGCUAGAGGUGAAAUUCUUGGAUCCCCGUGGGGACGAACCGACGCGAAAGCAUUUGCCAAGAACGCUUUCUUUAGUCAGGAACGAAAGUCAGGGGAGCGAAGACGAUCAGAUACCGUCCUAGUCUUGACCUUAAACGAUGCCGACUAGCGAUCCGCGGUUUAGUUGUAUGGACGGCGCGGGGAGCCCUCGGAAAACCAUUAAGUAUACGGGUUCUGGGGGAAGUAUGGUUGCAAAGCUGAAACUUAAAGGAAUUGACGGAAGGGCACCACCAGGAGUGGAGCCUGCGGCUUAAUUCGACUCAACACUGGGAAACUUACCCGGUCCCGACACUGCAAGGAUUGACAGAUAUUAUAAAGCUCUUUCUCGAUUCGGUGAGUAGUGGUGCAUGGCCGUUCUUAGUUGGUGGAGCAAUUUGUCUGGUUAAUUCCGUUAACGAACGAGACUCCCACCUCUAUUUAGUGCGCCGGGGUUUACGAGCCUAGCGGCGGGCGCAUAUGACUGUGCGAGGAAAGACUUCUUAGGGGGAUAUGCGGCGUUAAGUCGCAUGAGAAUGAGCAAUAACAGGUCUGUGAUGCCCUUAGAUGUUCGGGGCUGCACGCGCGCUACACUGAAAGAGACAGCGAGUUAUUUUGGUUUAUCCAACGCAUGAUGGAUGGAUUCCUUUCCCGUGAGGGCUGGGCAAUCUGCUGAACCUCUUCUUCGUAGUAGGGAUUGGAGUCUGCAACGGUCUCCAUGAACCAGGAAUUCCGAGUAAGCGUUUGUUAACAGCUGGCGUUGAACCCGUCCCCGCCCUUUGUACACACCGCCCGUCGCUACUAUCGAUAGAGUAGUGCCGUGAGGCUAGUGGAAAGACCAAGUUUCCGGGGUUCUAAAACGUUCACCCGGCGAAGGUACUGUCAAGCUAUCCAAACUGCAAUGCUUAGAGAAAAUAAAAGUCGUAACAAGGUUUCC
rnacentral:rRNA from 1 species